CCUAGAACCUUAAAACUCAGGGGCUUUUAAGGUUUGGGGCCCCUGUGUCACACGGCUGGUCUCUAAGCCCCUGAAAUGUUAGUUAUGGCCUUCCUUAUACAAAAGCAUUACCCAUUUGAUCAAAUGUAAAGGGUCCCUGUAUACUGACCUUUUGACCUAGCACCUUAAAACUCAACCUACUCCAUCCCCCUAAGGCCUAGUCUAAGUGGACCAGGUUUGGGGCCCCUGUGUCACACGGCUGGUCUCUAAGCCCCUGAAAUGUUAGUUAUGGCCUUUCCUAUACAAAAGCAUUGCCUAUUUGAUCAAAUGUAAAGGGUCCCUGUAUACUGACCUUUUGAUCUAGAACCUUAAAACUCAGGGGCUUUUAAGGUUUGGGGCCCCUGUGUCACACGGCUGGUCUCUAAGCCCCUGAAAUGUUAGUUAUGGCCUUCCUUAUACAAAAGCAUUACCCAUUUGAUCAAAUGUAAAGGGUCCCUGUAUACUGACCUUUUGACCUAGCACC